UACGUAGGGUGCGAGCGUUGUCCGGAAUUAUUGGGCGUAAAGAGCUUGUAGGCGGUUUGUCGCGUCUGCUGUGAAAAUCCGGGGCUCAACCCCGGACUUGCAGUGGGUACGGGCAGACUAGAGUGUGGUAGGGGAGACUGGAAUUCCUGGUGCAGCGGUGAAAUGCGCAGAUAUCAGGAAGAACACCAAUGGCGAAAGCAGCUCUCUGGGACGGUACUGACGCUGAGACGCGAAAGCGUGGGGAGCGAACAGG
rnacentral:rRNA from 1 species